UGUUUUCUUCUAUUGUAUCUGAUUUUGUCUCUUUCAGUUGUAGGCACUCUUCAACAUGUCAGAUCUUUGGCUAUCUCUAUUCACUUUAAGACUGAAGCACCGAAAACUACCAGGAAGCUCCAGAGCAUGUGGAUAUGGGUAUGUGGACAGAGCCAUCAACUGACUGGCUUUUCUUUAGGAUUUUCAACACUGAGCCAAAAUUUUUGGAGGGAUAGAUGCAAAUAUCAAUUCUCUGGUUAUCUGGGAUGGGGAAGAGAUCUGGUUCCCUACACACUAUAUGCAGACUUUCACACAGUGGCUCUUGCUUUCUGAUCAGAGUCUCAUGCCUUUUUCUCAGUGGAGUCUCCAAAUCCUAAAUCUCUCAAGAGUCUGUGGUUCUACUCAAUGCCAGAGUUUUCUAUGACAGACCCUUAAGUUAUAGUCUGCUCCUUCCUGCAAAGCUGGUGACCACUAUUUCAUCUGCUUUCCAUCCUCCAAAAGCUCAUUUAAAUGUCAUGUCUGUUGUUGCCCUCCUGUUCUCUAUGUUCUUGGGUCCAUUUUUACUCCUUUAUUGUCAUUUUGGCAAAAUUUUGGUAGAGCCACACCUGUGGCCAAUCAACACUUUAAGACUAAAACUCAUCACAUGAGAACUGAAAACACUGAUCCUCAAGAAAGAAAGCAAUUAGGGACUUGAUUUCUUUCUCUCAGAAAGCUUCUUGCCACCUACACAAAUGUGUCUACUUAACUUUCUCAGAGAAAUAAUUUCUCUAGGCCAAAAGCUCUGAGUGGGUAGACAUUAACAACUAAAAGACAUAUCCUGUUAUACUGACAAGUGGAGGGGCUUAGGAGGGGAGAGAGGGAGAAAAUGAAAUGUGGCAAGCAUUGAAAGAAAGGGAGCCGAGGAGGCAAUGAGAGAUUGCAUAGCCUAGAGGAGAUGAGAGGAACAAAGAAUUCCAUGCCACUUUAUGCAGCAAAGCUCUGCUACUUUCCAUUCUUAAUAACACAUCUUAACUUACAUUUAUAUUAUUUUACACCUGGACUGUUACAAGUGUCUCCCAACAGAUAGUCCUCCUGUUCCUCUUGGCUCCCAUAAAUCCAUCACCAUAUGGUUACGUCACACUCUUGUUUAAAAUCCUUUACUGGCUCUCAUUGACCUCAGCAUGAGGGCCUAGUCACGUCUGACACACAAAGUCUUCUGUUACCUGGCCUCUGUUUGCCUCUCCAGCCUCAUCUUUCUCUACUUCCUGCCAUGUAGUUUUUCCCUUCAAUCUUCUUGUGUUCUCCCUUCAACCUGCAAUUCCCCUUGCUUGCUUAGUGCCUGGUCAUUCUCUAAGAUGCUCAGACAUUGCUCACUGACCUCAGAAAGUCCCACCACCACCUCUUCCUCUGUGUUAGGUGUUCCUCACUGGGCUUUCAUAAAAACCUAUGCUUCUACAUCCACAUUUGUUUGUGUAUGUGUGUGAGUGCAUAGGUGUGCACAUGUGUUUAAAUAGUUAUCUGUUUACUAUGUGCUCCCUAGUCUAACAUUCUCAAGGGAAAAAAAACCCAAAAACCUGCAUCUUUGAUCUCUGAAACUCUAUCACAUAAUACCUUGCACAUAAUAGGCACAGUACUGAAUGAAUUAAUGAAUGAUUGAGCAAAUGAAUGAAUUAAUUUCAGAAGGAGUCAUCUGGAUGGGGUAACUUAAAAAGCUUUCAGAGUUCCCACUGUGGUUUAGUGGUAAUGAACCUGACUAGUAUCCAUGAGGACAUGAGUUCAAUCCCUAGCCCCCCUCAGUGGAUUGAAGAUUUGGCAUUGCCAUGAGCUGCAGUGUAGGUCACAGACACAGCUCAGAUCUGGUAUUGGAAUAGCUGUGGCACAGGUAGCUGCAGCUCCAAUUCAACCCCUAACCUGGGAACCUCCAUAUGCCACAGUGCAGCCCUAAAAAGACCAAAAAAAAAGUUUCAAUCAGGGGGCUGUUCUAGAGUCAAUUCUGAAGGACCUCACUGAAUAAAUAAAAAAAUAUGUUGUCAUACCUCCCUCCAAAAUAAAUUUCUGAUGGAUCAAAGACUUAAUUUUGAAAGAGAGAAAGAGCCAUGACAAUACCAGAAGAAAGCCUGUGAGAAUGUUAUAUUUUAGAGUGGAGAAUGUUUUUCUAAUGAGAAAAUUUAAAGAACUGCGGUUUCAACUACAUAUUUCUUUAACUACAUGAAAAAAACAUCCCAUGAACCAAGUCAAAUGACUAGCUGCAAAGACUAUUUAUAACAUGUAUAAGAAAGGGCUAAUUUCCUUAUUAAAUAUAAAGGGUCACUAUAAUGAGAAGACUUAUAAUCCAAUAGAGAAAUGAGCAAAGGCCAAGAACAGAGAGCCCACAUAUAAGGAAAUACAAAGGAAAUUUAGAUGAUUUUAAAGGUGCCCAAUUUUAUUUACAGUAAGAAAAAUAGACUAAAUAUUUGGGGAUUCCAUCCUCACUUGGAUCAGCAAAGAUUAAUCUGGUUUGCAAGGAUGGGAUGAAACAGGCAUUCUUACACAUUGUUGGUAGGGGAUGUAAAUUGAUACAAAUUUUGAAAAGGACACUUUGCCAGUAUGUAUUAAAAGUGAAAACGCACAUGCUUUUGAUCUGGCAUUUGUACUUCUAGGUGUACCUUACAUCUAGGAGUAUAAAUUUAGAUGUACUGGGCUAUCUAUUGCAUUAAUUAACAAAUAUUAAGUGCAUGUUAUGUGUAAAACUUUGUCUAAGGGUUAGAGGUUAUAAUGGUGAGCAAAACAGAGAAAGAUCAAGAUGGCAGGAGAGUAAGACAUCACACUCACCUUCUCCCACAAACACAUAAAAAAAAAACCAUAUUUACAUGUAAAAUCAUAAACACAGAACAUCUACUGAAUGCUGGUAGAACUUAAACCUCCAAAAAGGGCAAGAAACCCUCCACAUAACCGGGUAGAACAAAAGAAAAAGAGAGAGAGAAGAAUCAGGACGGGACUAGCACUCUGAGAGGGAGCUGUUAAAGAGGAAAAGAACCCACAACCUGGGAAGCCACCUUAUUGACAGGGAGAUCAGCUGAGAUGGAAGGACUUCAAAGUCACUGAGAAAAGCACAGCAGCUGGACUGAGGAGGACAAAGCAGAGUGAGAGCUGCACAGAUCAUCUGCACCACUGCCCCGGAUAUUACAGCCUGAGACGCUCGGGGGUGGGGGCUGGAUGUGGAGACUCAGGCUCUGGAGGUCAGUUCCAGGGAAAGGACUAUGGUUGGCUGUGUGGAGACAGCCUGAGGGUCUAGGGAGUGGUGUGCCAUGGGUUAGCAAAUGGAACACCACAGCCAAGGGAACCUGGGAGAUGGGCUGGGCCUGUAGGAGAAGCAAGCUGCCAUUGUUGGGGAGGGUGAGAGGAGGAGGGGAGGACCGCCAUAGGAAUCUCUUUCCCUGUGCAUGUGCAGGCUCUCAGAGGGCAGGGUGCCUCUGGUGAGGCUAAGGGUGGCAAAAGGGCACUUGCUUGGGCUGCAGGAGACCUGGCACCUCUUCUUUGGGGUAUGGGUGGCUGGGUACCUCUUAUGUGGGCUAAGGGCAGUUGGGGAGUAAGUGUGACAUGGUGCCUUUUGUGUGAUCUACAGGUGGUGGGAAUAAACCAUAGCAGUCAUCUCAGAAACUGGAGGGGGGCAUGGCCUGCCACCACUAGGGGUCUGUGAACAGGCUCCACCUGCCACCCUAGUCACUUUAGAGGAUGGCAAAAAGGGCACUGCAACAGAGCACCACCCAAUGUUGCUCUCACUCCCCUGGGAACAUACCUGCCCUGCUGCUGCCACCACCAAAAGUUCCAGGCAGUGCCCACACAUGCCUGAUCACUGUAACUUCCCAGGACCCUGCAACUAGGAGCAGGCUAUGCAGCACCUCCUGCAUGGGCUAAGUGGGACAGAGUGAUUCUUCCAUGGUUUCCAUGGUGGUGAGGGCAAACCGCUACAGCUUUCUCUGAGUCCAGAGGUGGGCAUGACCUGCCACCACUAGGGGUCCGUGAACAGGUACCACUUGUGGCCCCGGUUACCUCAGAGGGCAACAGAGAUGAGGACAUUGCAACCAGACACCACCCAUUAUUGCUCUCCCUCCCCUGGGAACUCACACACCCUUCUGCUACCUCUGCCAAAUGCUCUGGGCAUCACCUAAAUCUGCCUGAGUCUCAUUACCACUUCCCAGGGCCCUGCAACUAGGAGUAGUCUGCACCACCCUACCCAUUGCCUCCUUCUUCUUGGAAACACACUCAGCACCCUGGGGCCGACAGCCUGCUCACACAAAAGAAAGAGACAGCAAAUAUCCAAACUCCCAUGCCAAAAAUUAAUAAUAACCCCCUGCAGAAUACAAAGGGCUGCUCUUGCAUAGAAAUAGCCCUCCAAGACUACAGUAGUUGCUUUCAGUAAACUCACAGAAUAAGAAAAAUAUAAGCAAAUGAAGAAGCUCAGGAACCAUUCUCAGUUAAAAGAACAGGAGUAUUCACCUGAAGCAGCAAAUAAUGACACAGACCUCUGCAGUCUAACAGACACUGAAUUCAAAAAGGAGAUAAUGAAAAUACUGAAGGAAUUAAGGGUGCAUAUGAAGGAAUUAGGAGCAGAUGUAAACAGUAAUGCAGAUUACUUUAGACAGGAACUAGAAAAUAUAAGGAGGAGCCAAGAAAAAUUGGAAAAUUCAUUUGCAGAGAUGCAAACUGAGCUAAAGGCACCAAAGAGCAGAAUGAAUAAUGCAGAGGAAAGAACAAGUGACUUGGAAGAUAGAAUAAUGGAAAUCACCCAAUCAGGAAAGCAGACAGAAAACCAAAUGAAAAAACAUGAAAGGAAUAUAAGAGGUCUAUGGGAUAAUAUAAAGUGGUAAUAAGGAUUCCAGAAGGAGUAGAAAAACAAAAGGGGAUUGAAAAUACAUUUGAGGGGAGUUCCUGUCAUGGCUCAGUGUUUAACAAAUCCAACUAGGAACCAUGAGGUUUGGGGUUCGAUCCCUGUCCUCGCUCAGUGGGUUAAGGAUCUGGCGUUGCCUUGAGCUGUGGCGUAGGUUGCAGAUGCGGCUCAGAUCCUGUGUUGCUGUGGCUCUGGCGAAAGCCGGUGGCCUUCUGAUUAGACCCCUAGCCCGGGAACCUGCAUAUGCCACGGAAGCGGCCCUGGAAAAGGCAAAAAAAAAACCAAAACCAAAAACAAAAUAUAUUUGAGGAAAUUAUGGCUGAAAACUUUCCAAAUCUAAGGAAACAGAUAUCAAGAUACAGGAAGCACAGAGGGCCCCAAACAAGUUGAACCCAAAUAGGCCCACACCGAGACAUAUUAUAAUACAAAUGGCAAAAGUUAAAGAUAAAGAGAGGAUUGUAAAGGCAGCAAGAGAAAAAGCGUUAAUUAUAAGGGAACCCCCAUAAGGCUAUCAGCUGAUUUCUCUACAUUAACACUAUAGGGUAGAAGCGGCAAGAUAUAUUCAAAGUUCUAAAAGGGAAAAAUUUGCAGCCUAGAAUAGUCUCCCAGCAAGAAUAUCAUUUAAAAUAGAAGGAGAAAUAAAGAGUUUAUCCAACAAACAAAAACUAAAAGAGUACAGCAAUACUAAACCCAUUCUAAAAGAAAUACUGAAAGGGCUUUUCUAAAUAAAAAAAAAGAAUAGGAUGGAGGAAAUGACAAUUGGAAAGCAAUCAUUUAAAUAAGCCAGGAUACAGAUCUAAAAGGAAAAAAAAAAAACCUAUUGUAAAAGUGACAAUAAACACAAGGAACAGUAAAAGGACAUACAUGAAGAUGUCAAAAAAGGACUUCAAAAUCAUAAAAUGUAGAGAAGGAAAAGUAAGAAAAUCUAGACUCUUUUAGAAUGUGUUUGAGCCUAUAUGACGAUCAGGCUAAAGCAAGCAGAUAUAGGAAGGGGUUAACAUACUUGAAAAACAGGGCAACUACAAAUCAAACCAAACAUUACAUUCACAAAAACUAAAAACAAAAGGGCACAAGCAUAAAACAAAAGGAAAUCAUCCAACCAAAAAAAAAGAAAGGAACAAAGGAGAAACAUAGAAUCACUGGAAAAAUAGGUUUAAAAUGGCAACAAAGACAUAUUUAUGAGUAAUUACCUUAAAUGUCAAUGGACUGAAUGCUCCAAUCAAAAGACAUAGAGUGGCAGAUUGGAUUAAAAAAGCAAGAGCCUACAUGCUGUUUACAAAAGACUCACCUUAGGGCAAAGAUACAUAUAAAUUGAAAGUGAGAGGAUGGGAAAAGAUACUUCAUGGCAAUGGAAAAGACAGGAAAGCAGGAGUUGCAAUACUCAUAUCAGGCAAAAUAGACUUUAAAACAAAGGCCAUAAAAAAUACAAAGAAGAACACUAUUUAAUUAUAAAAGGAUCCAGUCAAGAAAGGGGGUAUUACAAUUGUCAAUAUAUAUGCCCUCAUAUGGGAGCACCCAGAUACAUACAGCAAAUACCAGCAGACAUAAAAGAAGAAAUUAAUGUGAAUACAAUAAUAGUAGGAGACUCUAACACUUCACUCACAUUUACUGACAGAUCCUCUAGACAGAAAAUCAAUAAGGCAACAGAGAUCCUAAAGGACACAAUAGAAAAGUUAGACUUAGUUGACAUUUUCAGGACGUUAUAUCUAAAAAAAUCAGAAUAUACUUUCUUUUCAAGUGCAUAUGGAAUAUUCUCGAGAAUUGACCACAUACUGGGGCAUAAACUAAUCUUUUUUUUUUUUUUUUUUUUUUUUUUUNUUUUUUUUUUUUUUUUUUUUUUUUUUUGUCUUGUCUUGUCUUUUCUAGGGCCGCACCUGCAUCAUAUGGAGGUUCCCAGGCUAGGGGUCUAAUCAGAGCUGUAGCCUCCAGCCUAUGCCAGAGCCACAGCAAUGCCAGAUCCAAGCCAGGUCUGUGACCUACACCACAGCUCACAGCAAUGCCAGAUCCUUACCCCACUGAGCAAGACCAGGGACCGAACCCCAAACCUCAUGGUUUAGUCGGAUUCGUUAACCACUGAGCCAUGACGGCAACUCCCACAAAAGUAAUCUUAACAAAUUUAAAAGUAUAGAUAUUAUUUCAAGUAACCACAAUGGCAUGAAAGUAGAAAUCAACUACGGGAAAAGAAAUGAGAAAAAACUGACUACAUGGAGACCAAACAACAUGCUACUAAAAAACCAAUGAAUCAAUGAGGAAGUCAAAAAGGAAAUUAAAAAAUACCUUGAGAUAAAUGAUAAUGAAAACACAACCAUUCAAAAUCUAUGGGAUGCCACAAAAAGCAGUGCCUAGAGGGAAAGUUCAUUUCAAGACAGGCCUUCCUCAAAAAAGAAUAAAAAUCUCAAAUCGACAACUUAACACACCACCUAGAAUUAGAAAAAGAAGAAAAAAAAAAAAAAA
rnacentral:lncRNA from 1 species